CCUCUCAUCCCGCGAGACCUUCAUGGUCCAUAAACCGCAUCUACCUUCUGCUCUACGCCUAUCCGCAUUGCAUCCCUCACCUCGCCAGUCUCCUAGACCAUGGCUUGUCCGCGAUGCUGCCUGCAUGUCGUCGAUAACCUCGACCCCGGUGCGGCCGCACUGCCGCCUGCACGUUCCCGGUCGCCUCGACCCCAGCGCGGCUGCGCUGCCGCCUGCACGUCGCUGGUAGCCCCGCCCCCGGUGCACGCGUGCUGUCGCCUGCACUUCGUCGAUUGCCUCGACCACGGUGCGGCCGCGCUGCCGCCUGCACGUCGCCCGUAGCUUCGACCCUGAUGCGCCCACGCUACCGCUUGCUCAUCUCCAUCCACUACAGUGCUGCAGGUAGAAUUUGGUACUUAUGUUUUCAGAAAUUUUGAUGAAGUUCAACCAUAUAUUAGUGAGUACUCCAGUGGUCAAGAUGGAUGUUCACCACAACCAUUUACCACCAUGUGGAACCAGAAGUUCAGUCAGUGGUUCAAAAGAGAAGGAGUAGAUUCAGAUGUCGUGUUCAAAUUCGAGAUAGACUCCUCUGCACACAGACCAAUGGGGUGGCUGUCCUUUCAGAAGAAGGGGAUAAUAAUUGGUAAUACAAUAGAAUAUUAUGCCAUAUUGACAGAGAUAGUCGAGCUGCAAUAUUUAGAUGGAAGGCGUGUGACAUUAUUCCGUUGCAACUAGAUUGACGUAUUUAACAAAGAGCAUGGAAUGAAGUAAGACAACAAGAAUGGAAUCGUUAGGCUUAACCUGCAGUGUUUGCUUUAGACAGAUGAGCCUUUCAUUCUGGAUAGCAAAGUUUAAAAAAAAAUUAUUAAGGACAAACUUAUAAAAGGAUGGCACACAAUUGUGAAAAAAAUCCAUCACGUCAUGCUUAUAAUGUAUCACAUGGACAGUCCGAUGAUAUACCCUCUGAACCUGAACCUGACAAUAGCGACGAAGAUGACUUCUUUCAAAAAUUAACAACAACGUCAUGUAGAAAGAGAACAACAUGAGGCCACUAGUUUAUUCAAGUCUUAAUCUGUAGUAUUUGAUUUGCUUCUUAUAUUAGCUUUUACCUUAUUAAUAAACAGUGACACAAGUAGUUCUGUACUUACUUUAUUUGAUUUAGCAUUCACUCAUUUAACUUAAAUUGUACUUUGUAUAGCCUUUGCGCACACUUCAACCAAACGCUAUAUAUAUAGACACACACACACACAUGUUAUCACAGUGAGUCAUCAUAGGUAUGGAAACUUGACAACAUUAGCUUGGGAAAGAUGCUUUCACAGAUGAAUAAGUCUGGACUGGUACACAAAGGCAUUGCUAGGCGGACCUUCAUGGAGAAAUCAAGUCAAUUAGCAGAUUUCAGCAGAAAAGGGUUACCCACAGGCUCAAAUGCAAGAUGCGGAACUGUGAAAAAAUACAAGUUACCUACAAAAGGUACUAUGUAAACAUAAAAAUAUUAUUCAGCUAUCUUAUAAUCAAUGAUAUAAUGUGGUUAAUUGUUUUCAUAGAUGGAAACGAUGCGCUAACAAAUACACCAAUCAUGUUUAGUACAAAUUGGGAUGCAGGUGAUUCCAAAAGUGAGUUUCUAUGAAUGAUCAAGUUGAUGCCAGCAAUGAAAGUGACAUGGGAAAUUCAAUGGAUGAAUUUUAUGGUAUGUAAAAUGUAUUUAUUUCAUCUUUAAUUCAUGUACUGUGCUGGCUGAUUGGUUGUAUAUUUUCAAACACUGCAAAUGGUGUAGAUGAAUUAAUAGGUAAUAAAAAUCUAGAAAGUGAAGAACUGUGGGGCAACCAUGGCCUUGCAAGGAGUUUUUGGUCAGUUCUCAUGUUGCCUCUUUAUUUGAUCUAGUAGUAAACCUUCUAGAUAGAUAAUUUGGGAAUUGGUACACAAUUUAACUUCUGCUGUUUUUAUUCCAAUAAUAUAAGAUCAGUAUGGAUAGUCUAUUUUCUAAGACACACAAGAAGGGUACAAUCUUUGUUGAUUGUACAACCUCCGCCAAACACGUAAGACUUAAUUUAACUGUAAUAACUUCAAUAAUGAACAACAAGUGUAUAAUUCCUACUUAGAGAUAGAAGUAACUUACUGUUGGUGCUCCAACAACAAGUGUACAAUUCCUACUUAGAGAUAGAAGUAACUUAUUGUUGGUGCUCCAGACACAAACUAAGACCAUAGUUUAACUCGAAGAAAAGUUCAAUGGCAUGGUGUAAGAAGUUUCUGAAAUUAAGUGACUUGUGUCUGGUAGUUCUCUAAGUGAUAGUUCUCAUGAAAGCCAACAUGAUCAAGUAAGUUGUUAUUAUACAUUGAUUUUAUAUGUUAUUACACUUUGUGCCAAUUUAUUCACAACGGCUGACUUCCAUAAACUACUCAACAUUUUGUAGGAUUGAUGGUCCAUCGUGAUAUAUAGAAGUAUCAAGUAUCAGGAGGCAGUGUAAGAGCUGAUGAAGAAUGGUAUCCAUUCAAACAAUGAUGGUGUCCCUCGAUUGAAGAUAAAUAAAUAUUAUGUUUUCUAGUUGUCUCGUUUUCCAAAUAGAUAUGAUCAAGUCCAUUGGUCAUAUAAGGAUUGCUUUUGACUCAAAUUUCUGAAAUGAUAUUUUUUCAUAAUUGUAUGUCGGAAUAUUGGUAUUUCUAUCUAUUAAUGAAAGAGGCUA